UUGUCAGGUGGGGAGUUUGGC
rnacentral:siRNA from 1 species